rnacentral:rRNA from 1 species
AUUGAACGCUGGCGGCAGGCCUAACACAUGCAAGUCGAGCGAGCGGCGGACGGGUGAGUAAUGUCUGGGAAACUGCCUGAUGGAGGGGGAUAACUACUGGAAACGGUAGCUAAUACCGCAUAACAUCAGAUUGGCCCAGAUGGGAUUAGCUAGUAGGUGGGGUAAUGGAUCACCUAGGCGACGAUCCCUAGCUGGUCUGAGAGGAUGACCAGCCAAACGGGAACUGAGACACGGUCCAGACUCCUACGGGAGGAAGCAGUGGGGAAUAUUGCACAAUGGGCGCAAGCCUGAUGCAGCCAUGCCGCGUGGAUGAAGAAGGCCUUCGGGUUGUAAAGUACUUUCAGCGGGGAGGCGUUACCCGCAGAAGAAGCACCGGCUAACUCCGUGCCAGCCGCCGCGGUAAUUC